rnacentral:rRNA from 1 species
AGAGUUUGAUCCUGGCUCAGGACGAACGCUGGCGGCGUGCUUAACACAUGCAAGUCGAACGGUAAGGCCCUUCGGGGUACACGAGUGGCGAACGGGUGAGUAACACGUGGGUGAUCUGCCCUGCACUUUGGGAUAAGCCUGGGAAACUGGGUCUAAUACCGAAUAUGAUCACGCUCUUCAUGGGGUGUGGUGGAAAGCUUUUGCGGUGUGGGAUGGGCCCGCGGCCUAUCAGCUUGUUGGUGGGGUAAUGGCCUACCAAGGCGACGACGGGUAGCCGGCCUGAGAGGGUGUCCGGCCACACUGGGACUGAGAUACGGCCCAGACUCCUACGGGAGGCAGCAGUGGGGAAUAUUGCACAAUGGGCGCAAGCCUGAUGCAGCGACGCCGCGUGGGGGAUGACGGCCUUCGGGUUGUAAACCUCUUUCAGCAUCGACGAAGCGCAAGUGACGGUAGAUGCAGAAGAAGCACCGGCCAACUACGUGCCAGCAGCCGCGGUAAUACGUAGGGUGCGAGCGUUGUCCGGAAUUACUGGGCGUAAAGAGCUCGUAGGUGGUUUGUCGCGUUGUUCGUGAAAACUCACAGCUUAACUGUGGGCGUGCGGGCGAUACGGGCAGACUGGAGUACUGCAGGGGAGACUGGAAUUCCUGGUGUAGCGGUGGAAUGCGCAGAUAUCAGGAGGAACACCGGUGGCGAAGGCGGGUCUCUGGGCAGUAACUGACGCUGAGGAGCGAAAGCGUGGGGAGCGAACAGGAUUAGAUACCCUGGUAGUCCACGCCGUAAACGGUGGGUACUAGGUGUGGGUUUCCUUCCUUGGGAUCCGUGCCGUAGCUAACGCAUUAAGUACCCCGCCUGGGGGAGUACGGCCGCAAGGC